UGUGACUUCGACAUCUCCAUAGCCAGAAAAAGAGAGAGAGAGAGAGAGAGAGAAAGUGCUUGUGUGUGUAUAAAGAAAAGAGAAUGUUAACGUGUAAUAUAAAGCAGAUCAGAGGCACUGGGUUGGGGGUGGGGGCUAGGAUUCAUAGAGGAAGAGCCAACAAAGAGAAAAGAUUUGAGAGGGAAGCAAGAUCUGGGCUGCUUGAAAAGACUUCCCAGUUCCAAGUUUGCAAAAGGAAAAUUCCACCCUCGCUCGGCUUGGGCGAGGCCUUGUGUGUGCCCACAAUAGAUUCCAGCUGUGGAAAAUGACGUGUGCGGACAUGAAGGACUGCAAUUUCCUUUGGCAGCAAAUCUGUUCUUGCAGAGCACGCCCAGCUCUGCUCUCUUCAAACACACUCGGAGCUUCUGAAAGACGCUGCAGGUUCUGGGGUUCUCCAUGUUUCUUGCUCAAGCUUUACUAGAUGCCGCCACCGGUGGUGGUGGUGGUGGAGGAGGCGGAGGCGGAGGAGGAGGAGGAGGAGGAGGUGGUGGUGCUGGAGCAGCUCUCCUGAAGACCUUGGGAGGUGGUGGGGGUACUGGAGGUGCCCUGAUACGAGGCCUUGGUGGACUCCUGACAGGAGGAGGAGGAGGAGGUAGUGGUGGUGGUGGAGGAGGAGGAGGAGGAGGAAGAAGUGGUGGUGGCAGCAGUGGCGGCAGCAAAGCCAGCAACGUUAUGGGGCUUCUUGGAGGGCUUGUGAAUAUCAUCAGCGAAGCAGCAGCUCAGUACAAACCAGAGCCCCCUCCAGCCCCCCGCAGCCAUUUUGCCAAUGUGGAAGCCAACGAAAGCGAGGAGAUGCGCCAGUUUCGACGACUCUUUGCCCAACUGGCUGGUGAUGAUAUGGAAGUGUGUCCCACUGAGCUGAUGAAUAUCCUCAACAAGGUGAUGGCCCGGCAUCAGGACCUGCAGUCCGAAGGCUUUAGCCUGGACACUUGCCGAAGCAUGGUGGCCGUCAUGGACAGCGACGCCACGGGCAAGCUGGACUUCUAUCAGUUCCGGUAUCUGUGGAGCAACAUCAAGAAAUGGCAGUGUGCCUUCAAGCAGCACACCGGCUCGGCGGGGAGAAUCGAGAUGGGGAAUCUGCCUGCCGCUUUCAAGGCCGCGGGGUUUAAUCUCCACGAGCAGCUCUACGCCCUGAUGAUCCGCCGCUACGCCGACGAAGACGGCAGCAUGGACUUCAACAACUUCAUCAGCUGCCUGGUCCGCCUGGAUGGAAUGUUCCGUGCCUUCAAAUCUCUGGACCGGGCCGGGGAUGGAAAAGUCCAGAUGAACAUUGAAGAGUGGCUACAGCUGACCAUGUACUCUUAAGACAGCAAGUGGUGGGAAGAGGAAACCGGUGGUGUGCUCCGCCUUGGACCAUCUCUCCUACCAUAUAGGGGGUUUGGGGGAGGAGGGAUAGCUGAGAAGUAAAAUUACUUCUGCCAACCCUCAAAAUAAACCUUCCUGCUUACAGCAAGUGCCUUUGGGUUGACAGCACCUUUGGGAUAUGGAGGUUCGCCAGUGCAUGCAUUUUGUGGGAAUGCUUGCUGAUUGCUUGAAGAAAGCUUACAUUUUUGCUACGUUUUGUUUUUCGCUUGCCUGAAUUGUACAAUAGUCUAAGGUUGCAAGCUCAUGUUAGGAAUGUUGGAAGCACAUUGGAAGCUGUGGAUUAUUUCAUAGGAAGCUAGGGGAGAAAACCCAGUAUUUUGUGGCACAACAAAAUGUAUUCUGCUCUCCUUAGGUUAAUGCCUACAUUGUGCAACGAAAGGAAGCAACUGUUAUUAUUCAUUAUCCUAAAUUCUGCCCCUCUCUGCUUCAGCAGACCAUGUUUUGCUCUCCUUUCCUUACUUCAUCUCCAAUGUUGCUUUCAUCUUCUCCCCCUAAAUUGACAUUUUGGCAUUCUAAGCCCUGAAUACUCACCGCUCCUGUUAAGCUAGUUAUUCUUGUUCUUUUUAAAGUCUAAUCUGCUUUAAUUUACAGAUGUGUCUGUUGUUGAACAUAUCUGGAAUUCCAGUUAUUCCAGGAGCUCUGUGGUCUUCUUCUCAUGGAAGGGCACUCAGGAUCCUAAACUCAUUCUUGAAGGAAUAAGAUUAGGUUCUCCCAACCUAUUGCCCUCCAGAUAUGUGUAUCUGUUGCCAUCAUACUCAGCAGUGGUCACUUGGGGUGAUGGAAAUAGUGAUCUGGGAGAUUUGGAAACCAACUAGUUGUGGAAGGGUGGAAACGCAGCCAGAGGGAAAUUAUAUCUACAACUUCUGGUUUAGCAUUUUUUCAUUGCUUUUGCUGAGAGCUGGUUUGAGGCAGAAAGGAAUAAUGACAAAAAUAGAUCUUUUUCUGACUAGUUCUCAAACAUCUGUCGGUUGUAAAGAAGAGAAAAUAAACUUGGAUCAUAACGAAAGGGGGAUACUGCUAAUUGUUUGAUUGUUUUGUAGGCUGUUUUGGCAAGGGUGGCAGCAACAACAUACUUUGCAUUGUGGAAUGCCAUUCCUUUCUUUUGUGUGGUUGUCAAUCUUGAGCCAUGAGCAUUUGCUGCAGGUGGAAAAAUGAGCCCCUGGACUAAAACCUAUCACUAGAUUAUUUGUUUUUGACCUGGACAACCACUUCAGACGUGGCUGUCCUUGUUGUGACCUGAACUGGCCGAAAGAUGACACCUCUACCUCCUCUGGGACACAUCCCAGUCUUGCCCUGAGUGGAUCUUGUAGACCUCCAAAAUGUGCUUGUUCCUUCUCCCUGAUUUUGACUGGCUUUGUGCCUCAUACUGGUUUUGUUUGGGGCUUUACCCACUGUGGCUGAGCGUUUUGUGUGAAGUGGCCUUGAUGGUUUCUUGAUCCAACUCUAGUUGGAAAAGUUCUAGUUGAAAUGAUAUGAGAGCCAGCAUCUCCGAGCCAGCUCAGAGGAAGAGGUCAUCGUCUCAUUGCUUGCUCCAUGUCAGUUGUUGCAGCUCUGUCCUGUCCUUGGCCAAAAGUCUCAAAGGAUCAUUUGCUGUUCCAUAGAAGUUCCUUGCCUCAGGUUCCUUAAGGAAGAAGUUCCUUAAGGAACCCAACUGGGCAACUUUCUAAAUUGUGGACAGCCAGAUUCUGCAACUGCAGGCCUUGUUAAGACUCUGAGUGCCCAGGAUUUUUUUAAAACCUCCUCCUCAUCUCCUUGUUCUCCCUAUAUCCUAUGACCAUGUCAUUCUCUCUGCCCAUUGAAGUCAUACAUACAUAUAUACAUAUCUUUACUCCGGUCACUGGCCAGAGUAUAGCAGUCAUCAGCGGAUGGACCAAAAUAAAGCAGUUUGGUUCUAGAUCAUGGAUGCGAUCAAAGUGGGUUUGGUUUUAAUAAAAUUUAAACAGUCUACCAAAAUUUGCCCACAUGCAUGGAAAAGGAAUCAUACUGGACAAUAACAGCUAUAUAGAGAAUAAAUUGGAAUUGUCUGGGUUCUUUAUUUAAUGAGGAGUAAGAAGAUUAAGCCCUUGCAUCCUUAUAGAAAAUACAAUGUUUUGAUUGACCCUUCCGCACUUGGACAGGACCUUAGUUCCUAUGGAAUUGUUUUGUAACUGCCCUCAAGAACUGCCAUAGGGGGUGCAUUACAGCUUGCCCAGGUUAGUGUCCUCCAGAAUUUAGGGACAGUGAUAUGGGGUGGACAUUUUGGCGGCCUAAAGAAAGGGACUCGGCUGCCCUGAAAAAUGUUCCUGGGUAGGGCAGAUGGAUCCAGUUGGGCUUCUAAAUCUCAGGCCCAUUGCUUGAGUGCAAUGAGUGCUCAUUCAUAGUCUGCCAUUAGAAAGGUGUCCCUAAGGACCAUUGAAAUCAAUGGCGCAGCACCCAAGAGUGUCUGAAGAAACCCAGUCUGUUGAAAUAGCUCUUUGGGUUCUAUUUUAACUGAUCAUUUUUUCUCCUGCCUUAAAUGUUUGAUCUGAUGGUGUCGAAUGUUGACCCUGAUGUUGGUUUGGGCCAUUUGUGUUUCUCAGGAGAAUUCCAUCCUUUUAAAAGAAAAAGAAAAAAAAAAAGGAUAAUUUUAUAGGGGUGGGGCAACCAGGGGGGGAGAUAAAGAUUCACCCAGUGAAUUUGCUGCAAAUGUAUUUGCACAUUUAGAGGGAUAGUUUGGCCAAAGAAUAAGUUCAACCUUUCUUUGCCGUGUUUCCAGUGCAGUUCUUUAUUGGGGGGGGAAAAAUAUCAAAUACUACUUUAUUUUUAAUUGCUCCUCCCUGCUCGAACUACAGAAAUGCACACACAUUUUUCUUCUCUCUCUCUCUUUUCUGCAUACGCCUUUGCAAGCAAAACAAUGUCUCCCUUGAGUCAAGCUGUACUCUCAAUCAUUUUACGGGCUGGUUUCUUGGCAACAAGAGGAAGGUGCCUCCCAUUGCUUUCAGCUAAGAGGCUUUCUAACUACUCUCGCUUGCAGUUCUGAGUCUUCUGAGUGGUGUCCUAUCCAAGUAAUAACCAGGACUGACCUUGCCUUAGCUUCUUGGGAUCAGCCGUGGUCAGCCAGGUGCCUCUGUCUGCUGCGUCAGAAGAGCUGCAGCUGAUCUGCGUAGGCCAAAAUAAACAUUGCAAGCCAACGUACACAGCAAAGCUUUGGAGAAGAAGGAAUGUCACACGGAGCAGAGAAAGUGGGUGGAUGGGAAUCCUGAACCAGCUGCUUCCUUUCCAAAGGAGAGUCGAGUGUUUGGCCUUUCAGAUUAACGGACAUCAAAACCCACUAGUUUCCUGGAGACCUUUUUUUGAAGAAACAUCUUGACGGCUUUCUGAAUGUUCGUCCUAGCAAUAUAAACAUUUGCCGCUACCUCUUUUCCGUUCCAGAGACUUUGGGCAUUUUGUAUUUGUUUUCAACCGGGUCUUUGCCUCUAUUCAAAGCAAAACGCUCUUGAUUUGGAGUUUAAAGAGAAACAGAGGUUCCCUGGCAGCUAAGAAUGGGGAUGGUACCAUAGACUUCCGAGAAUACGUGAUUGGCUUAUCAGUCCUAUGUAAUCCUGCCAACACAGAGCAGACGAUUCAAA